GCAAUGGAAUGAUCCGGAGAUUGCUCGUCUACAUGUUCCAAUGGAGUUGAAGGACCGGCCAGAGGAUUGGGAGUGGCUCUGCAAACAUUUUACGGACCAAAAUUUGUGAAGAAAUCUAUUGCUGGCCAGAAAGCUCGGGAGUCAAAGACACUUCUCCACCAUUCUGGUUCAAAGCCUUUUCGUAUAGGCUUGAGGCACGACGUGAGGAGGGUUCUAUGUUCCCAGAGAUCGACAUGUUCGAGGAAGUUUACGUUCGACCUAAUAAUGAGACCACUAAGCAACUUCAUG